UACAGAGGGUGCGAGCGUUGUCCGGAAUCACUGGGCGUAAAGGGCGCGUAGGCGGCCUGAUAAGUAGGGGGGUGAAAUCUUGCGGCUCAACCGCAAGGCUGCCUUCUAAACUGUCAGGCUGGAGCACGGUAGAGGCAGAUGGAAUUCCCGGUGUAGCGGUGGAAUGCGUAGAGAUCGGGAGGAACACCAGUGGCGAAGGCGGCUUGCUGGGCCGGACCUGACGCUGAGACGCGAAGGCGUGGGGAGCGAACGGG
rnacentral:rRNA from 1 species